rnacentral:rRNA from 1 species
UACGAAGGGGGCUAGCGUUGUUCGGAAUUACUGGGCGUAAAGCGAGUGUAGGUGGUUGUCGUAGUCAGGUGUGAAAGCCUUGAGCUCAACUCAAGAAAUGCACUUGAUACUGGGCAGCUAGAGGACCGGAGAGGAUAGUGGAAUUCCCAGUGUAGUGGUGAAAUACGUAGAGAUUGGAAGAACACCAGUGGCGAAGGCGGCUAUCUGGACGGUUUCUGACACUAAGACUCGGAA